rnacentral:rRNA from 1 species
CACUUGAACCUGAUUCUUCGGAUGAAGGAUCUGUGACUUAGUGGCGGACGGGUGAGUAACGCGUGGGCAACCUGCCUCACACUGGGGGACAACAGUUGGAAACGACUGCUAAUACCGCAUAAGCGCACACUGCUGCAUGGCAGAGUGUGAAAAACUGAGGUGGUGUGAGAUGGGCCCGCGUUGGAUUAGGUAGUUGGUGAGGUAACGGCCCACCAAGCCGACGAUCCAUAGCCGACCUGAGAGGGGUGACCGGCCACAUUGGGACUGAGACACGGCCCAAACUCCUACGGGAGGCAGCAGUGGGGAAUAUUGCACAAUGGGGGAAACCCUGAUGCAAGCGACGCCGCGUGAGUGAAGAAGUAUUUCGGUAUGUAAAGCUCUAUCAGCAGGGAAGAAGAUGACGGUACCUGCACAAGAAGCCCCGGCUAACUACGUGCCAGCCGCUGC